rnacentral:rRNA from 1 species
UACAGAGGAUGCAAGCGUUAUCCGGAAUGAUUGGGCGUAAAGCGUCUGUAGGUGGCUUUUUAAGUCCGCCGUCAAAUCCCAGGGCUCAACUCUGGACAGGCGGUGGAAACUACCAAGCUGAGUACGGUAGGGGCAGAGGGAAUUUCCGGGUGGAGCGGUGGAAAUGACGUAGAGAUCGGAAAGAACACCAACGGCGAAAGCACUCUGCUGGGCCGACACUGACACUGAGAGACGA